rnacentral:rRNA from 1 species
GAUGAACGCUGGCGGCGUGCCUAAUACAUGCAAGUCGAACGAAGAUCUAGCUUGCUAGAUCUUAGUGGCGAACGGGUGAGUAAUACAUAAAUAAUCUGCCCAUAUGACUGGGAUAACUAUUGGAAACGAUAGCUAAUACCGGAUAGGUUGAUCGGAGGCAUCUCUGAUGAAUUAAAGUAGGAUUUCUACACAAAUGGAUGAGUUUAUGGCGCAUUAGUUAGUUGGUGGGGUAACGGCCUACCAAGACGAUGAUACGUAGCCGACCUGAGAGGGUGACCGGCCACACUGGGACUGGGACACGGCCCAGACUCCUACGGGAGGCAGCAGUAGGGAAUUUUCGGCAAUGGGCGAAAGCCUGACCGAGCAACGCCGCGUGAGUGAUUAAGGCCUUCGGGUUGUAAAGCUCUGUUGUAAGGGAAGAACAUUCAGGAUAGGAAAUGAUCUUGAACUGACGGUACCUUACCAGAAAGCCACGGCUAACUACGUGCCAGCCGCCGCCGUAA